AUACUUGCCUGGAAGGGGGGACACCAGGAUCAGGCAGGUGGUUUUCCGAGGGCGAGGCUCACUCAUUGCACUGCGGGUGUGCUGACACCUGUGAUGUCCCCAAAUGCGGGAAAAGCAACUGCAUAAUUUGUGGUAGUGGGGGACUGCGUUCACUCCCCUG
ensembl:snRNA U1 U1 spliceosomal RNA